rnacentral:rRNA from 1 species
UGAGGAAUAUUGGUCAAUGGAGGCAACUCUGAACCAGCCAUGCCGCGUGAAGGAUGACGGCCCUAUGGGUUGUAAACUUCUUUUGAAUAGGAAAAAACUUAUCUACGUGUAGAUAACUGACGGUACUAUUAGAAUAAGGAUCGGCUAACUCCAUGCCAGCAGCCGCGGUAAU